rnacentral:rRNA from 1 species
GACGAACGCUGGCGGCGUGCUUAACACAUGCAAGUCGAGCGGUAAGGCCCUUUCGGGGGUACACGAGCGGCGAACGGGUGAGUAACACGUGGGUGACCUGCCCUCAGCUCUGGGAUAAGCCUGGGAAACCGGGUCUAAUACUGGAUAUGACUCCAUGACGCAUGUUGUGGGGUGGAAAGCCUUGUGCGGCUGAGGAUGGGCCCGCGGCCUAUCAGCUUGUUGGUGGGGUGANGGCCUACCAAAGGCGACGACGGGUAGCCGGCCUGAGAGGGCGACCGGCCACACUGGGACUGAGACACGGCCCAGACUCCUACGGGAGGCAGCAGUGGGGAAUCUUGCGCAAAUGGGCGAAAGCCUGACGCAGCGACGCCGCGUGAGGGAUGACGGCCUGU